UCACUUCGGCUGAUGGUUCCCAAGGAGAGCAGUUGGAGCACCUAAGAGCUUGCUGUAUUUGGGGAUACACAAGCAAUUACAAUCCAGCAACAUGGAAGGAUGAUGGCGAAGGCAAGAAGAAUUCAAGACAACUCCUACAAUCUAUAAAUAUGCAGUAACCAUUCUAUACCAUUUCCAAAAAGGGAAGAUUUUUUUCCAUUAUUUCACAAUGUUUUUGUUGAUGUUCAUCCAUC